UAACUUUACAAUGCGGUCAACCGUGAUAGGGGCACCUCGAGUGCCUGUAUAUGCAGGCUGUCCAGGUGUCUAAAACACACCUGAAGAAAGGGCCGGGCAAGACCGGUGCCAGCCGCCGCGGUAAUACCGGCGGCUCGAGUGGUGGCCGCUUUUAUUGGGCUUAAAGCGUUCGUAGCUGGGUCGUUAAGUCUCUUGGGAAAUCCGGCAGCUCAACUGUCGGGCGUCUAAGAGAUACUGGCGAUCUUGGAACCGGGAGAGGUGAGGGGUACUUCGGGGGUAGGAGUGAAAUCCUGUAAUCCUCGAGGGACCACCUGUGGCGAAGGCGCCUCACCAGAACGGCUUCGACAGUGAGGGACGAAAGCUGGGGGAGCAAACCGGAUUAGAUACCCGGGUAGUCCCAGCCGUAAACUAUGCGCGUUAGGUGAAA
rnacentral:rRNA from 1 species